rnacentral:rRNA from 1 species
AUUGAACGCUGGCGGCGUGCCUAACACAUGCAAGUCGAGCGGUAACAGGUGUAGCAAUACAUGCUGACGAGCGGCGGACGGGUGAGUAACGCUUGGGAAUCUGCCUGAUAGUGGGGGACAACCCGGGGAAACUCGGGCUAAUACCGCAUACGCACUACGGUGGAAAGCCGGGGACCGCAAGGCCUGGCGCUAUCAGAUGAGCCCAAGUCGGAUUAGCUAGUUGGUAGGGAACGGCCUACCAAGGCGACGAUCCGUAACUGGUCUGAGAGGACGACCAGUCACACCGGAACUGAGACACGGUCCGGACUCCUACGGGAGGCAGCAGUGGGGAAUAUUGGGCAAUGGGGGAAACCCUGACCCAGCGACGCCGCGUGGGUGAUGAAGG